rnacentral:rRNA from 1 species
UACAGAGGUCUCAAGCGUUGUUCGGAUUCAUUGGCGUAAAGGGUGCGUAGGUGGCGCUGUAAGUCGGGUGUGAAAUUUCGGAGCUUAACUCCGAAACUGCAUUUGAUACUGCGGUGCUUGAGGACUGGAGAGGGGACUGGAAUUUACGGUGUAGCAGUGAAAUGCGUAGAGAUCGUAAGGAAGACCAGUGGCGAAGGCGGGUCUCUGGACAGUUCCUGACACUGAGGCACGAAGGCCAGGGGAGCAAACGGG